GACGAACGCUGGCGGCGUGCUUAACACAUGCAAGUCGAACGAUGACGACCGAGCUUGCUCGGUCUGAUUAGUGGCGAACGGGUGAGUAACACGUGAGCAACCUGCCCUUCACUCUGGGAUAACCUCGGGAAAUCGGGGCUAAUACCGGAUAUGAGCUCCUGUCGCAUGGUGGGUGUUGGAAAGUUUCGCGGUGGAGGAUGGGCUCGCGGCCUAUCAGUUUGUUGGUGGGGUAGUGGCUCACCAAGGCGAUGACGGGUAGCCGGCCUGAGAGGGCGACCGGCCACACUGGGACUGAGACACGGCCCAGACUCCUACGGGAGGCAGCAGUGGGGAAUAUUGCACAGUGGGCGGAAGCCUGAUGCAGCGACGCCGCGUGAGGGAUGACGGCCUUCGGGUUGUAAACCUCUUUCAGCAGGGAAGAAGCGAAAGUGACGGUACCUGCAGAAGAAGCGCCGGCUAACUACGUG
rnacentral:rRNA from 1 species